rnacentral:lncRNA from 1 species
CUGCUCCAGGUACCUGGAAGCAUGUCCUGGCUUUCCUUGAGUACCCUACAGUUGUAGAUGGAGUUGGUGAAACUCAGGCUAAGUGAGAGCACUUGGCUCUGGUUGUGGCUUUGCUGCUGAUUAAAUUUUGGUCUCAGACAAACUAGUUUCCCCUUAUAGGCUAUAUAGUAGUCUGAUAUGUUGUUGCCACAGCUCCUUUUAUGCUCUUGACUCUUUUAGAUGCACAUACUGGCUUUGCCCCAUGGAUCCUUUGGGUCUUUGGAGACAGCGGCUAUUUGCUCAGAAGUUGGAUCCUAUUUCCAUUUCUCUUGGGUGGAUAUUCCUCUUGAUGCUCCAUUACCCAUACCUAUGAAUCAGCUGGAGGGAUUUGGGACAGACAGCCCAAUAGGAUUGUUGGACAAGGCAGGAAGAACAGACAUGGGUUCCAAGUGUUUGAUAUCUGGAUCUGGUCUUACUUAAGAGUUAUGCAAAAGAUCUAGAGCUACAACUGUCCACUUUGGCAGACAUCAGCAAAUGUGGCUCUUAAACAUUGGAACUGUCGUUUCUGCCACUGAGGGACUGUAUUUCUAAUUUUAUUAGAAUUAAUUUAAAAUAAAAAAAUAUUUAAUUCAGUUACUGGAAAAUGUUAAAGCAUGUUUGGAAC